rnacentral:rRNA from 1 species
ACACAUGCAAGUCGAACGAAGCUUUGAGGAGCUUGCUCUUUAAAGCUUAGUGGCGGACGGGUGAGUAACGCGUGAGCAACCUGCCUCUCAGAGGGGGAUAACGUUUUGAAAAGAACGCUAAUACCGCAUAACAUAUCGGAACCGCAUGAUUCUGAUAUCAAAGGAGCAAUCCGCUGAGAGAUGGGCUCGCGUCCGAUUAGUUAGUUGGUGAGGUAACGGCUCACCAAGACUACGAUCGGUAGCCGGACUGAGAGGUUGAUCGGCCACAUUGGGACUGAGACACGGCCCAGACUCCUACGGGAGGCAGCAGUGGGGGAUAUUGCGCAAUGGGGGAAACCCUGACGCAGCAACGCCGCGUGAAGGAAGAAGGUCUUCGGAUUGUAAACUUCUUUUGUCAGGGACGAAGAAAGUGACGGUACCUGACGAAUAAGCUCCGGCUAACUACGUGCCAGCAGCCGCGGUAAUACGUAGGGAGCGAGCGUUGUCCGGAUUUACUGGGUGUAAAGGGUGCGUAGGCGGCCGAGCAAGUCAGUUGUGAAAACUAUGGGCUUAACCCAUAACGUGCAAUUGAAACUGUCCGGCUUGAGUGAAGUAGAGGUAGGCGGAAUUCCCGGUGUAGCGGUGAAAUGCGUAGAGAUCGGGAGGAACACCAGUGGCGAAGGCGGCCUACUGGGCUUUAACUGACGCUGAGGCACGAAAGCAUGGGUAGCAAACAGGAUUAGAUACCCUGGUAGUCCAUGCCGUAAACGAUGAUUACUAGGUGUGGGGGGACUGACCCCUCCCGUGCCGCAGUUAACACAAUAAGUAAUCCACCUGGGG